rnacentral:rRNA from 1 species
UACGUAGGGUGCAAGCGUUGUCCGGAAUUAUUGGGCGUAAAGAGCUCGUAGGCGGUUUGUCGCGUCGAAUGUGAAAACCCGGGGCUCAACCCCGGGCCUGCAUUCGAUACGGGCAGACUAGAGUUCGGUAGGGGAGUCUGGAAUUCCUGGUGUAGCGGUGAAAUGCGCAGAUAUCAGGAGGAACACCGGUGGCGAAGGCGGGACUCUGGGCCGAAUACUGACGCUGAGGAGCGAA